UACGUAGGGGGCAAGCGUUGUCCGGAUUUAUUGGGCGUAAAGAGCGUGUAGGCGGUUUGGUAGGUCCGCUGUGAAAACUCGAGGCUCAACCUCGAGACGCCGGUGGAAACCAUCAGGCUAGAGUCCGGAAGAGGAGAGUGGAAUUCCUGGUGUAGCGGUGAAAUGCGCAGAUAUCAGGAAGAACACCCGUGGCUAAGGCGGCUCUCUAGUACGGUACUGACGCUGAGACGCGAAAGCGUGGGGAGCGAUCCGG
rnacentral:rRNA from 1 species